UUUAAAAACUUAAACUUCCAGCUUAAACCAACGUUCCAAUAUUCAUCAUUUCAAUUUCAUUCAUCAAUUCAAUCAUUGGUUUCUGACUGGUUCCUGAAGUUCGAACUGCAAUGGAGUUACAGAGGCGCUGCAACACAUUGAUAACCCUGAUUGAACGGGAAAACGCGGAGCUGGAGGAGAAGGAAAAGAAUGAGAAAAAGAAGAAAGCGCCCAAGACCUCACAACUUCCUGGAACGCCCACCCAAAUGGCGCCCAAGUCUGCCCAAAAACGAAACAAUGAGAGCCCCGCAUCGGUGGUGGAAAAAAAAAACCAUGUUCAUUCGCAAUAACCACGUUGAGCGCGGCUGUAGAAUUUAAAUUUUCAUAUUUUUAACUCUAAUUAAUAAAGUACGAUUUAAGAUGA